rnacentral:lncRNA from 1 species
GUUCAUGUGUUUUUACACAGCAGCCCACAGGCAAACAUGCUUCCAAGCAUCAGAACAUGCUUGUGCCUGAAUACUGUCUCUACCAUCUGCACAUAAGGCACCCAAGAAAUCUGGGUUUGUGGGGGUGUCCAGGUAUGUGGGUGGGGAUCUGAUCUUUUUCUGAUGCAGCUUCAAAGUGUCUUGUUAACAAAGGGACAGAAUGGUCCCAGGGUUCCUUCUUCUUCCUUCCAGUUAAGAGCUCAGAGUGGAAGUGGGCUGGGGAUGGUGUCGGGGGCCCAAGCUCCCAGCUCCCAAAGGCCCCUGCUUCUAUGCCCUUUGAGCCCAGGUAGACCCUGCCCCCCUCACUGUCUGUUCUUUCUCAUCCUCUCCUCUUCCUGUGUGUAAAUAUUAAAGAGCUGAGCCUGCAGGGCUGAUGUAGACAUGGGGAGAGAAUGAAAUUAAAAAGGAUUCCCUCGCCCCCAUCUCGACACCCCCGCCCCGCAGUCCCUCGCUCCUGCUUCUUCCCCUCUCCCCUCUCCCCUCCCCUCACUCAGUGCUUCCACAUGUCUCUCCUCCCCCCAGUCCAGAUGGGAGCUGGCUCCUUCAGAAAGGGGGCUCAGAACAGGGUGUGGGGAGCUACCUCUCUCUGCCUCCCCCCACCACAUCUGUCUGCAGGGCUGGGAGCCCCCACGAUUCAGUGGUCCUGAGCCUUCUGAAGUUAGGCUUCUGCCUGGUGGUGGGGAUCCUGACAUCAAGGAUGGGACACCCUGGAUGGU